UGGCUCAGAUGGUAAAGCAUCUGCCUACAAUGCGGGAGACCCAGGUUCAAUCCCUGG
rfam:TPA: Bos taurus chromosome X, whole genome shotgun sequence.